CUGUAUUAGAAUGUGGAAAAGCAGGAGGGGGACGAAAAAAGUCUGUAAUUUGAAUGGCACUGCAGAGGCCACUUUGAAAUAUCGAACAUUUUCACGAGAGCAAAUAUAAUAGCUUCCACCUGAUGUCACAGCCGCUUGCUCUCUUUGAGAAUCCAAGAGUGUAGGCGGAUUUCCAUGACAUAAGGCCUCUAGCUGCAUGCCACACCUGCCUCUAUCCUAGCGCAAGUCUACUUUUCCACUGGAUUCUGCUCUCAAGUCAGCAUCAUCUUGCCAAAGAAGCAUAAACCACAAGCUCUAGCGAAGCUGGUUUGUCUGGCCACAAGCAGGCCUCAAAGUCUCCUGGGUACCUUCCUAAAUCUCCUUGGACGAACACUUGAAAUGAACAGACAGACUCGAAGCCAGCAAACCUUCUGACUCCAGGGAGCACACCAGGAAUCUUAGCCAAAUCCUGCAAAAUGCUGGCCAGGCAAGAAAACAAAGAUGGAGAGAAGCAAGUUCUCACGACUUGAUGGAAUCAGUGUGAUCGUGGGAGGCCAUAUUGAGAUGCAUUCCUAUCAGCCUGGAUCCUGGUUGGGCCCUCAAAGUAAACCACAGGAAUAGACUUCUGCAGGCUUGGAUACCCUGGCUCCCCAGCUCCCAUGAGUGGCCAAGGGCCUUUCUUGACUUGGAGACACACCCACCUCCUCAUCAGUAUGGUCAUCUUCUUUCCAAAACUGAACCUACCUUCCACAAAGGGGCCAGCAUUCCCCAGGCUGGCUCCAGGCAGAGGUGCAGGAUGACUAGAGCUGUGAAUGACCACCACCACCGAAACACCCCUGAUCUAAUGACUCCCACACAGCGGACACCAAGUUAAAUACAUGUAUCCUGACAUCUGAUGGCCAGAACAGCUUAAUGAAGUUCCCAAUGGAGCAGCACCAAGAAGAGGUAAAGUGGGCAGUCCUCCAGACUGAGUGAAGCAACCUACUGAAGUUUUCAGGUGACAACAAAAGGUUUGAACUUUUAUACCUGGAGUUGGUCCAGCUGUUUUAGGAACAGGUUCCCCAGACUGACUUGAAA